UAUUAGUUAACAAUAUUUGUAAGUGAUAUUAAUGAAGAAUAAAUGACCUUCCCAGACAAGGCUAUUUCUGAAAUUUUCAGAGAUGAGAAGGACUUAUUAUUGUCCUUGGGAAAUGGAAACACCUAAAACAAAUAUUUCUUGCUAUUGUUGUGUGUCGUUGUCACCGUUCUACGUUAUUCCUCUCCUUUUCCUUUUUGCAGGAGAUAGGAAGAUUGAGAGAGCUGACGGAAGAGGGGAAGAGGGCGUCUUUCGCCACCUAGUGAUCAUUUUGAACUUGUGUCUUGUUUGUUGGAUUGUAAACAGAAGAAUUCAAGCAGUCAUUGCAUUAUUCUUAGAAGAUGCCAGGAAAAAAAAAAAAAAAAACAGGACACCCUGUUAUAUUUACAUUUCAGUUAAGCAACGAAUACUUUUGAAAGUUUAAGUGUGUCCCGCAUACUGUAAAGGACAUACUUGCAUGAAAAAAUAUUUGCUGUUUAUCUGAGAUUCACCUUGAACUGGGUGACCCGUGUUUUUAUUUGCUAAAUCUGGCAUUGGUUCUUGUAUUUAGGGACUUUGUCUGUAAUGCAUUGACUAAAGCCUGAAAAAUGACCAAAAAUCUUAAGACAGACCUCCUGAAGCAAAAUAUGUCUUUGGAGCUUUGAGGGAAAUGUGCACCUUAACACAUGAAAACAACUGUGUGGCAUAAACAGCCGUGUUUCACAUCCAUUUUCAUUUUUCCAGAAGUAUUUGUUUAGCAUUCUUAGCUGCCAGUCUCAGACAAGCUUUGUAAGAAGCCUGGAGUAAUCAGCGGACAGGCAUUUGUAGAGAGCAAAGUUCCACUCCACCCCACCCCCGGCCCGCGCUGGUAUUCUGAGGGGCUGGACUUAUUUUUGGCCAGAUCCCACCAGAAACCCUUCCCUUCUCUAAACUCUUGUUCAUGCCUCUUGAUGGCGAUUUCAAGGCUGCCCAGGCAGCGAUUGGUGGAGUUUGCUUUGAGGGCGUAUUUGUUCGGAGGCACGCCUGGUGCUACAUGUUGGCUCAGAUUUCAUUUGCUGGGUGACUUUUCACGAAAGACACCGAAUGCUACAUCCUACUCAGAUCUGAUGUUCGGUCCAGCUUUAAGAGUUGCCGCCCGCCCAAGAGACUGUUACAGACCCUCGCGGAGUCUCUAGUCUCUUGGGCCUUGAGACCGAGUUAAUCAAGACUGCCUCUCGGCCGCCGCUGCUGGGACCGAGUUGGGGCGCGGGCUUGGGGUGGGAAGAUCGAGGUGGUGUUCUGACCCACAGUCAUCGGUCCGGUCGGAAGUGACAGCACGCGGUCCUCCCAUCCGUGCGGGGGAUGAUCGCGCCACGCGCUGAGGAAGGCAGUUCUCUCCCGAGAGCCACCGGAUAAGCACGGCGGCGCGGAGGGGAGCUGCUUCCGAGCCGGCUCCCUGCACAUGC
rnacentral:lncRNA from 1 species